CGAAGUGUAGCUUAAACAAAGCAUUUCGCUUACACCGAAAAAAUGUCUGUUAAACCCGGACCCCCUCGA
rnacentral:tRNA from 1 species